rnacentral:rRNA from 1 species
AACGCGAAGAACCUUACCCAGGCUCGAAAUGCAGGAGACGUUACUAGAAAUAGUAAUUUCCGUAAGGACUGCUGUAUAGGUGCUGCAUGGCUGUCGUCAGCUCGUGCCGUGAGGUGUUGGGUUAAGUCCCGCAACGAGCGCAACCCUUAUCAUUAGUUGCCAACACGAAAGGUGGGGACUCUAAUGAGACUGCCUAGGUUAACUAGGAGGAAGGUGAGGAUGACGUCAAGUCCGCAUGGCCUUUAUGUCUGGGGCUACACACGUGCUACAAUGGCCGGUACAGAAGGCAGCGAAACCGCAAGGUGAAGCAAAUCCCCAAAGCCGGCCUCAGUUCAGAUUGUAGUCUGCAACUCGACUACAUGAAGUUGGAAUUGCUAGUAAUGGCGUGUCAGCAACAACGCCGUGAAUACGUUCCCGGGCCUUGUACACACCGGUACUA